GCGCCAUUGGUUUAGUGGUAAAAUUCAACGUUGCCAUCAUACCAGUAGCAACUUCGUUGAGCCCUGGGUUCGAUUCCCAGAUGGCGCA